GGGGUACGAUGAGUGCUAGAGUUUGAUCCUGGCUCAGGACGAACGCUGGCGGCGUGCCUAAUACAUGCAAGUCGAGCGGACAGAAGGGAGCUUGCUCCCGGAUGUUAGCGGCGGACGGGUGAGUAACACGUGGGUAACCUGCCUGUAAGACUGGGAUAACUCCGGGAAAUCCGGAGCUAAUACCGGAUAGUUCCUUGAACCGCAUGGUUCAAGGAUGAAAGACGGUUUCGGCUGUCACUUACAGAUGGACCCGCGGCGCAUUAGCUAGUUGGUGGGGUAAUGGCUCACCAAGGCGACGAUGCGUAGCCGACCUGAGAGGGUGAUCGGCCACACUGGGACUGAGACACGGCCCAGACUCCUACGGGAGGCAGCAGUAGGGAAUCUUCCGCAAUGGACGAAAGUCUGACGGAGCACACGCCGCGUGAGUGAUGAAGGUUUUCGGAUCGUAAAGCUCUGUUGUUAGGGAAGAACAAGUGCGAGAGUAACUGCUCGCACCAUGACGGUACCUAACCAGAAAGCCACGGCUAACUACGUGCCAGCAGCCGCGGUAAUACGUAGGUGGCAAGCGUUGUCCGGAAUUAUUGGGCGUAAAGGGCUCGCAGGCGGUUUCUUAAGUCUGAUGUGAAAGCCCCCGGCUCAACCGGGGGAGGGUCAUUGGAAACUGGGAAACUUGAGUGCAGAAGAGGAGAGUGGAAUUCCACGUGUAGCGGUGAAAUGCGUAGAGAUGUGGAGGAACACCAGUGGCGAAGGCGACUCUCUGGUCUGUAACUGACGCUGAGGAGCGAAAGCGUGGGGAGCGAACAGGAUUAGAUACCCUGGUAGUCCACGCCGUAAACGAUGAGUGCUAAGUGUUAGGGGGUUUCCGCCCCUUAGUGCUGCAGCUAACGCAUUAAGCACUCCGCCUGGGGAGUACGGUCGCAAGACUGAAACUCAAAGGAAUUGACGGGGGCCCGCACAAGCGGUGGAGCAUGUG
rnacentral:rRNA from 1 species